UACGUAGGGAGCAAGCGUUGUCCGGAAUCAUUGGGCGUAAAGCGCGCGUAGGCGGCCCGAUAAGUCCGCUGUAAAAGUCAACGGCUCAACUGUUGAAAGCCGGUGGAUACUGUCGGGCUAGAGUACGGAAGAGGCAGGUGGAAUUCCUGGUGUAGCGGUGGAAUGCGCAGAUAUCAGGAGGAACACCCAUAGCGAAGGCAGCUUGCUGGGACGUUACUGACGCUAAGGCGCGAAAGCGUGGGGAGCGAACAGG
rnacentral:rRNA from 1 species